rnacentral:rRNA from 1 species
AUUGAACGCUGGCGGCAUGCCUUACACAUGCAAGUCGAACGGCAGCACGGGAGCAAUCCUGGUGGCGAAGGUUGGGCGAAACGGGGUGAGUAAUAUAUCGGAACGUGCCCCAGUCGUGGGGGAUAACGUAGCGAAAGCUACGCUAAUACCGCAUACGAUCUAUGGAUGAAAGCGGGGGAUCGCAAGACCUCGCGCGAUUGGAGCGGCCGAUAUCAGAUUAGGUAGUUGGUGAGGUAAAGGCUCACCAAGCCGACGAUCUGUAGCUGGUCUGAGAGGGCGGACCAGCCACACUGGGACUGAGACACGGCCCAGACUCCUACGGGAGGCAGCAGUGGGGAAUUUUGGACAAUGGGCGCAGCCUGAUCCAGCAAUGCCGCGUGCAGGAUGAAGGCCUU